GGCGGACGGGUGAGUAAUGCUUGGGAAUAUGCCUUAUGGUGGGGGACGACAGUUGGAAACGACUGCUAAUACCGCAUGAUGUCUACGGACCAAAGUGGGGGACCUUCGGGCCUCACGCCAUAAGAUUAGCCCAAGUGGGAUUAGCUAGUUGGUGAGGUAAUGGCUCACCAAGGCGACGAUCCCUAGCUGGUUUGAGAGGAUGAUCAGCCACACUGGGACUGAGACACGGCCCAGACUCCUACGGGAGGCAGCAGUGGGGAAUAUUGCACAAUGGGCGCAAGCCUGAUGCAGCCAUGCCGCGUGUGUGAAGAAGGCCUUCGGGUUGUAAAGCACUUUCAGUAAGGAGGAAAGGUUAAGUGUUAAUAGCACUUAGCUGUGACGUUACUUACAGAAGAAGCACCGGCUAACUCCGUGCCAGCAGCCGCGGUAAUACGGAGGGUGCGAGCGUUAAUCGGAAUUACUGGGCGUAAAGCGUAC
rnacentral:rRNA from 1 species